CAGACACCAAGCCCCACGCAGCCGCUCUCUCACUCUCCCAUGAGCAGGCUCGGGGAGAGAAUCGGAAGGGUAAAAGCCAAAAAAACUAGAGGAUUGAGAUA